rnacentral:pre_miRNA from 13 species
GGCCGCACGGGAUAAUCGAUUAUCCCGUGCGGUCCGCUUAAGACAACCGCACGGGAUAAUCCUUUUAUCCCGUGCGGUU